CCCUUCGUCAAAAAUUAACUUCAUUAGAUGAUAUUUCACAUGUUCUGCAUUCCAUGAUGUGUGAGUAAUUUGCAUAUAUUAAUAUUCAAAUGAACAUGGAUUCUGUGUUAAGUGGCACAGAAAUGAGGGAAACACACGUCGUAGAAGGAAAAACCCGUUUAAAUCUGCAGCGAAACCCCCAUAACUGCCAGUAGGGGGCAGUAUGGAGCAGGGUGUGUAUUUGGGUUACCUCAAAAAGAGUCUGUCGAGCUUUCCACAUCCCUCUUCACCCAGGUGGACCCGGGGCAGUUCUUGGCUGUGUGCGAGAGGUCCCGCUGUCACCGCGGGAGUGCCCCCUGUAGGCUGGCGGCUGCCUUUGUCCACCUGUGUCGCAGAAACUACGUUCCGCUGGACCUUCCAGAGCUGUGUGUGAGUGUCUAAAAGUGGGAGGAGUCACCGAGCCCAGUCCCGGGUUCGAAGUGUAGCCCUGUCUGUGGACAUGAGGACGAGUGUGAUUUUACUGUCCAUGGGAGCCACGGAUACGAUCUGAAGAGAAACAUGAUACGAGGCGGGGGGUGCUGAGCUCAUGCUCCUCUCUGAAGCUCGAUCACAGUUCCAACCGGUGCUUGUAAUGGGGAGUGAACAGCGGAAUGAUGGUGUGCAUUAUUUUUACACCUUUAACAUGAGAGCAGGUUGGUAAAAAAAGUGUAAAGUGCAGGUAAAACAUGUGCACCCCAACCUUGGUUCCAGUGCGGCACUGUUUCAUUGAUUUGUAUUUCCAAAAAGAUGAGCUAAAUGAAAAGGUUAUUAAACUGGAGACAUUUUUGGCCUCUUUCACUUUUCCCAUAAUUCCAUACUGAAUUAAUUUGCAUAGCAGAGUUCCUUAUGGAGAUAGUUAUUAAAAUGCAGUUUCACUUUGUUCCCCUUAUGGAUGACCAGGUACGGAACAUAAUGUAAUAUAGUUCCUCGUUAUUAUAUAGAGGGCAUCAUAGUAUCAGUGCCUUGCAGUCUAAAGUCCCGGGUUCGAAUCCCUGUUCCCACUGUAGCACCUUUAAGCAAAGUACUCACCCUGAUCUGAUAUAGUAAAAAUGACCCACCUGUGCAAAUGGGUGAAUCACUGUCAGUAACUUACUGUAACAAGCGUCACAUUGUGAGUCACUCUUGAG
rnacentral:lncRNA from 1 species